rnacentral:lncRNA from 12 species
GAGCUUUUACAGUCAGACUACAGUACAUGUACAGUACAGUACAGUCAGCGAUGGAGACCACUACGGUUCCUGUUUCGAUGACCCCAGCUACUCUAGCUCUACAAACCCCAACAAGGAUUUUACACAAUGACACCUUCAGUAACAUCACAGGCACCAUGGGGGACCCCAAGGUCGGUAUGGCUUCCAGUAUUGAAUCAGUGGACACCAUUCUACUGGGAGUCUCUGUAAUAGCAACUGCUGUGAUGAUACUGCUAAUUAUAAUAGUGGUGCUCCGCUUCAUGGCCCAUCAGAAAGGUACAUAUUACACCCAUGAGGAGGCUUUAGCAUUUAAGGGAGACCCUGAGGUGCAAGACUUCACCGAAGAUUCAGAAGCUCUGGAAGAUCUGGAAGAGCCAGAAGAUCUGGAAGAGCCAGAAGAUCAAGAAGAUCCAGAAGAUCCGGAAGAGCCAGAAGAUCAAGAAGAUCCAGAAGAUACGGAAGAGCCAGAAGAUCAAGAAGAUCCAGCAGAUCCAGAAGAUCCGAAAGAUCCGGAAGACCCGGAAGAUCCUGAAGAAGGUAAGAGGCUGCUUAACUUCCAUUAUUUUCCCACUCUUGCUUGGACUGAACACUGCCUGCAAAAAAAAAAAAAAAACAACAUAUUAAUAACUUUUUGUCAAUGACAGCAGUCAUAUUUCUCAUAAUAGUGUCGAAAAUCUGUUUUGCAGAGGAGCCUUAGUAUCUUCAGGCGGGAAGCCUUUUGGGACGUUUCCUGUGUGAAAUGUAUCAAUGUGAGCGACAGAAGGAUCUGUUGUGGUUCUUCUUCUUCCUUUUUGCUCUCCAAUUACAUAUGCCUUUUCCAACAGAUGUCCAUUUCUGACGACUUCACACUCAACCACUCCAAAACUCACUCAGAUUUCCAUGUAGAGAAGCACUUGUGUGCUAAUUAUUUUAAUUUGUGUGUUAAAGUAAACUUUUAGCCUUAUGAAUUAACACAUUAAUGUCUCCAUGUAGAAUCUUUUAUAUUGACAUACCAUGAAGUUCUUUGCAAAUAUUAAGUGUGUUUUUCAUAAAUUAGUUAAUUUACACUAACUUUAGUGACUGGUUGACAUGUAUCUCUUUGUAGACUCUCCUUUGCAGAGAUUAAGACACCAGAAUUGGCAGCCUGAAUCAAAUACCUCCACUUGACUCAUUAUGCAGGCGGCUGUCAAUAGCUACUCUGAAGGUUGUCAUAAUGUAUGCCAGUUGUUUUGGAAUAUAUGUAGUAACUCAAAAAAAUAUUCACAGGUGGAAGAAGAGUGAGAGAGCCUUCGGCAACUGUCCAUAUUUCACUCAAAUUCCAAUUCCUCAUUCCAAUUCCUCUCUUUUCCUGUGGAACGUUAGACGUUCAACAGAAUUUUCAUUGUGCUUGGUUCCAUUUAAAAUGUAUAUAAAGUUCCAAAAAUGGCAAUAAAAACAAUAUGAGAGAGAUUAAAUAAGAACAUAAAUAUACAAAUCAUAUUAUGCAGUAAAUCAGCAUAUUACAAUGAUGAUUGACACUAAAGACUGGAGUAAUGGCUGAUGAAAAUUCAGCUUUGCCAUCACAGGAAUAAAUUACAUUUUAAAAUAUAUUCCAAUCCAAAACAGACAUUUAAAAUUUGAAUAAUAAUUCUGAUUAAGCAAUACAGCCUUUGUGAGCAUAAGAGACUUCCUAAAAGAAAAAGAAAAAAACAUCAUACCAACCUCAAACUUUUAAACUGUGAGUUUUCUUUUCUUGCUUCUCAGAUUUAGCUUUUUUAUUAUCUUUGUGUUUUGUUUGUUUAUCUAUUUAAGCUUUAUUUUAGGCUACAGUAUGUUUUGCUUCAGUUAUGAAUAAAAUGAGUGAUUCAGCAAAUGAUUGAUUUAAAUUAAUUCUCAAACAUUUUGCAUGUGAACAGAACAGAAGUAAAUGCAUAUUAACAUUCACAAUAUUUAUUGUAGAAAUCCUUGUCAGAUCUUGCUGCUGACACCAAUGAAGUUAAAAUAAAGCUAAAAAUGGAGACUGUGCUAUCUUUUAUUUGUCAUAUAGUUGUGUGUGAUUGUACACAGAGCACUCAUUUUAUAGACUCUCAAAAUCUAAAAGUUUCUGGGUAUUGAAAAGAAGAAUCCAAGGAAAUAAAGCUAAGACUUAAUUCAUUUUAAAUCUAGCUUGAUAUUUAUACAAUCUUGAACCACAUAGCUGAGGCUGCGAUAUUUGUUUGCUGACCUGAAUGUCAUACGGAUACAGUAAUAUUCUGCUAGAGCUCUAAAAAUACAUGUUUAAGAGACACCGCUAAUGCUAAUGUAAACAGUGCACGACGGUCCACGCAGGAAACAAAAGGCAAACAAACAAAGAGUUUCAAAAAUAGCCGACUACGCAAAUCAAAAGCCACAUCUCAGUACCGCCACAGAAUCCGAGAAACAAACCAAACAUCCCGAAAACACAGCUCUUACAUUGUCUACAGCAAUUUGUGGAAACUGGUACAUCUCGCUAUACGACGGAAGCCAGUGACCUGAUUAGGGCUGGAUGAAAACAGUUUCUAAUUAGCAGUGAACAGCGUCACCCCCUCGGAGAGUUGAGCUGAAAUAAAGUGUCAACAACAGCAGGAAACUUUCAAAGAAAAACUCCAAUAUAGCAUAUGCGCUAGGGGAAUUAACCUGUAGCCAAGCUUGCAACUAUUAUACGACCAUGCAAAAUACAAUUUAGCAUGGAGAAGCUCAAACAAAGAUUGAAUGGGCAAAUACAUCAAACUAAAUGGGUUAUUUCUGAGCUCUUUACUCUAUACUGAGGCUCUCCAGAGAUGCUACGACAUACAGCGUUCAGACCACCACUAAAUCCAACACCAAAAACAGCGUCUAAUCAAGCCAACUCAUGUUUGAUCUGGUUGAGGUGAUGUGAUGCCUCAAAAACAUGUCAGAAAUGUAAUAGCUUCGCAAGAUGUGAAAAUUAACUUUUCCGAGGCGUUAGCUACCGAUUUGUUUAUUUGUAUUAAGUAGGUUAAUGACAUCCCCAAAAAGUAAUUUCCGCCAAUUUUCUGCUGCAGACACACAGCAAACGAACCCAAAUGAGGCUUUUUUUCUCUCCCUGAGAAGACGACACAAGAGGGCCAGUUUGAUCCAGCUCUAUUUGGACGUAGAUCACCCUCAAAAGCAUCAAUUCGCAUUGAUUUCUCAUCUCGGUGGAAUAAUUUACAGGGAAUAAAAACGACAGAUAUGACAGAGCGACUUUCAGUCCUCUUUAGAGAGGUCGACUUUUGUCAGGGGAGUCUGAACCAAAGCCAUCAUCUCUCAAAUAUCUGUAGCGGGAUAAGACUGGGAGACGCAUAAUGUCGCACAUCAAUAGCUGUGCAGGGAACAAAAGAAGUCUACUUAUUUUGCUGCCUUCAAGUAAUUUGCCGUAAGAUUAAAGGAAUAGUUCACAUAAAUAAGAAAACUGUGUCAUUCACACCUUAUGUUCUUUUUUUCAACUGGAUGCAGAAGAAAAUGUUUAUUGCGCAUUAUUUGCGCUUUUCCCCAUUGGCUGUUCAUAGUUUACUUUUUUGCCAAGGUCCAAACUGGCCAAAAACACUUGUGUGUGUGCACUAGGAUGGGAUAAAUGCAGAGCAAAAAUUCCAAGUAUGGGACACCAUACUUGGCUACUCGUCACUUCACUUCAUGACUUUGUUGUAUAGCAUCCCUUAUGAAAAGUAACCUUGGUUUUACUACAAAUAAAUAAAACAUGUUUAAUAUAGUUUAACCAUAGUAACUUCAAAUUAACCUUGUUUAUGCUAUUUGUAGUAAAACUGUGGUUAUAGAAAUGGUAAUCAAUACGUCAAAAACAAACUUGGUUUCAUUUCUACACUUACUAUAAUAAAGCCAUGGUAAAUUUUCAUAAGAGAUUUGUUUGUGUACUAGGUGUUGUUUGGCUAGAGUAGCAUGAUGAAUUCCCUAAUUAGCAUCUGCAAAUAUGUUUAAAUCUUCAUUUUACUCCGGGAAGAAGUUAGUUUAUUCAUCAGAACAUCUGAAUGUUCGGGCUGUUGAUAAGGGUAAAGGUUUUUAGCCUUAAAUAAUGUGUUAAUGUGAUUUAGCAAAGCAGCUUAGCAUGGAUUUGAGUCUUUUCUAUUUUCAUGAUGCCAGAGUUGCGUGUGCGUGUGUGUGUUCAUAAGUCCAGAGGGCAGUUGUGAGUGGCAUGAAUUUAAUCCAAUUUCUCCAUCUCCAGCGCACUGGAGCCAGGCGUAACUCACCCCAAAACGAUCUCUUCCUGUCAUGGGAUUUUAAGCUAACGAGAGAUUAGGACAGGUUGGGCGUGAGUAAAAAUGUGGUAAUCCCAUCAUUGUUUCAUCAUUUGAUCAAUUGCCAUUGGUAUUCCCAUGUUCUAGAAUUCGCGCCGUCCUCAGUCCCACUCCAGGGUCAAGGGGGCCACAUAUCCUCUUCUAAAUGGGAUAGCCAGAAUUAGCGAUAAAGCAUUAGCCACCAUGGAAACUUCUUAGCUGCUUUGUGAAAAUGAUGUUAUUUCCAGCCUUUUUUAAACACUCUCCAACUACAGUAUGAGGACUUUGAUUCAAAAUCAUUGGCUAGAAAUGAAAAGGUGCCUUGGCAAAAAUGUAUGGUCAUAUUUCACCCCAAUUUAUUUCACCCAAUUUUUGAAUUAAUUUUAUAUAUGAAUAUAAAAAUAUUUAUGGUCAUUUUUAAAUGAAAGCACAGUACAGUAUAAUGACUGAGGUAUAAUGCAAAAAUGUCUUUAACGGCUCAAGUCUUCUGGGACUGUUGUCUUUACAAAAGCCGACUUCCUACACUUAACAUAAGGUGAAAAAAAGAGACAAGGAAAGAGUUCUGUUUCAUAUUUUUGGCUCCCCUAAGGGUUUGAAGAAGUGGGCUAGAGGAGAGCCGCUCAGCAUUACGUCAGCUGGAAACAAUAAACCAAACAGAGUCAUCCAUCAUGAGUGUUUGAUUCCGCUGACAGCACGUCAAAUCCCAUUGAUCUCCAGGAGAACCUUCAGGAUCGCUGACGGGACUCUGGCGGCGCUCUGAUGUGACAGAAAUUCAG